GCGUAGCUCACUUGGUAGAGCGCCCGGUUCGUAACCAGGAUGUAGUCGGUUCAACUCCGACCGC
rnacentral:tRNA from 1 species